CCUACGGGUGGCAGCAGUGGGGAAUAUUGGGCAAUGGGCGCAAGCCUGACCCAGCAACGCCGCGUGAAGGAAGAAGGCUCUAGGGUUGUAAACUUCUUUUAUCAGGGACGAAGCAAGUGACGGUACCUGAUGAAUAAGCCACGGCUAACUACUUGCAAGCAGCCGCGGUAAUACGUAGGCGGCAAGCGUUAUCCGGAUUUACUGGGUGUAAAGGGCGUGUAGGCGGGAAAGCAAGUCAGAUGUGAAAACCAUGGGCUCAACCCGUGGCCUGCCUUUGAAACUGUUUUUCUUGAGUACUGGAGAGGCAGACGGAAUUCCUAGUGUAGCGGUGAAAUGCGUAGAUAUUAGGCAGAACACCGGUGGCGAAGGCAGUCUGCUGGACGGCAACUGACGCUGAGGCGCGAAAGCGUGGGGAGCAAACAGGAUUAGAUACCCGUGUAGUC
rnacentral:rRNA from 1 species